GCAGACACAUUCCAGCCAAUCAGCAGCAGACCCUCCCUCCCAGACCCUCCCACCUCCUGGACAGCAUCCAUUUUGAAGCUGCAUUCUUAGUGAGCUGUCCAGGAGGUGGGAGGGUCUGGGAGGGAGGGUUUGCUGCUGAUUGGCUGGAAUGUGUCUG